GCCGGUGUAGCUCAGUUGGUUAGAGCGCCUGACUGUGGAUCAGGAGGUCUCCGGUUCAAAUCCGGACACCGGUACCA
rnacentral:tRNA from 1 species